rnacentral:lncRNA from 1 species
AUAUUUCUUUGUAUAUUGGAUAUUGUAUUUUAGGUCUGUUACUUCUCUGAAGAAAUACACAUAAAUGAGAGUGUCUUUUAUUUUUCUUUUAGGCUUUAGUGCCCAGUAUGGUAUGGUAAGCGUCUUUAUGAAUUAUGUUAAAAUUACUAUGAGGACUAGCUCUCAGGUUUCUCAAUCUCUCUGUCUGUGGUUUCUAGAUACUAUUUACCACUAAAAUGGAAGCAGAGUUACUUGGAGAAUGACUGACUGACUCUAUGUCAGAAGCAGGAGAUGUACAAGAUCAACCUGCAACAUUUGUCAUGCCAAAACCCAAGAAAGCUACCAAUGAAGACUUUCAGUAAUGUCAGAAGGAACAAGAUACUAAUCUCAAGAUGAUUGCCCCAAUGGCAAAACAUGGGACUAUUUUAGCAUCAGUUUUAAUAAAAGGAAGGAAGUGAAUAUGCUCUCACUCUCUAAGUGGUUUUUUUUUUUUUUUUUUUUUUUUUUGGACAGGGUUUCUCUGUAUAGCCCUGGUUGUCCUGGAACUCACUUUGUAGACCAGGCUGGCCUCGAACUCAGAAAUCCACCUGCCUCUGCCUUCCGAGUGCUGGGAUUAAAGACGUGCACCACCAUGCCCAGCUCACUCUCUAAGUUCUUAUCAAUGCUUUAGGAACCUACUGAUCACCCGUGGAGAAUGCUACAACAUGAAAGAUGGAAAUACAGGACCUGUUCGAGAAUAGGAUUUGGUGAAAGCAAGAGACAUUCUGGUUAAUUCUACCAGGAAACUGCUAUUUCACUCCCACUUAGUACAAAAGAAGAAAUGCAGGAGCAUGCAUGCUCAGUCAUAAGGAGCAGCAUGAGCAAAACAGAACAAAACUAAAACCCAAACAAAUGCCACUAAGUCUUAUGAUGGUGGGUAAAAAUGAGAGCUCAUUAAUAUAAAUAAACUUUUCACAGUAUGAAAGAGAAUUAUAUUCUUUUUUGUAAGACCUUUGUACAUUAAAACUAUAGGCAUCUAAUCAUAAGCAUAUAUAAAGUAACACACACACACACACAAAACUAAACAAAAAUAAAAUAAAAGCAGUGGCAGUAAGAAUCUAUUCUACUAUUAGUAGUAGUAAUAAUAUUAUACUUAUAUUAUUAAUAAUAAUAAUAUUAUAAUUAUAGUAGUAAUCUAUUCUACUCUUCAAUUUUAACAAUUUAUUUAUGCAUUGGUGUUUUGCCUGCAUGUAUAUCUAUGUGAGAGUGUCAGAUCUUUUUUUUUAAAUGUUUUUUAUUAGGUAUUUUCCUCAUGUACACUUUCAAUGCUAUCCCAAAAGUCCCCCAUACCCUCCCCUCCACUCCACUCCCCUACCCACCCACUCCCACUUUGUGGCCCUGGCGUUCCCCUGUACUGAGGCAUAUAAAGUUUGCAAGACCAAUGGGCCUCUCUUUCCAAUGAUGGCCGAGUAGGCCAUCUUCUGAUACAUAUGCAGCUAGAGACAUGAGCUCUGGGGGUACUGGUUAGUUUAUAUUGUUGUUCCACCUAUAGGGUUGCAGACCCCUUCAGCUACUUGGGUACUUUCUCUAGCUCCUCCAUUGGGGGCCCUGUGAUCCAUCCAAUAGCUGACUGUGAGCAUCCACUUCUAUGUUUGCUAGGCCCUGAUGUAGCCUCACAAGAGAAUGUCAGAUCUUGGAUCACAGGUAGUUGUGAGCUGCCAUGUGGGUGUGGGGAAUUGAAUCCUGGUUCUCAGAAAGAAGGGAUCAGGGCUCUUAACUGCUGGGCCAUCUCUCCAGCCCCCUGUACUCUUCAUUUUUGUAAAGCUUUCUUUAGCAUUUGUUUUGAAUUACACUUAUGUGAUUGUGUGUGACUAUAGGCAUGUGAGUGCAGGUAUCCAAAGAGAUCAGAGGCAUCAGAUUCUCUGAAGCUGGAGUGACAUGCAGUUAUAAGCAUGCUGAAUUGAAUUGAGAUGCUUUCUUCAAGAACAUCUUUCCUAUAUCAUCUCUCCAGUCCCAGAUUUCAUAUUUAAAACAGUGGCAAAAGGAGGGUAUAAUUUCAGAAUGCUGAUAAAUAUAAAUAAUGGGAGUAUAGAACUUCUAGAGUCCCAUUAAUAAAUGUACAUAUGGUCAAAGAUUCUAAUACAGGCCUUACUUUUAAAAUUGGGAGAGCAAUUUGUCAUUAGUGUCCAGUACAAAGCAAGGAACCAGGAAUUUUUUUUUAUAUUCUAGCAGCCUAAGGCUAUUUCUAGAUUCAAGUAAUUUAGCAGUAAGAAUGGUUAUCAGAAUCAAACAUUGCAACGCCUCCCCAUAGUAAUAAGCAGACACUAAGCUCAUCACUUUAGUAUUUUUAAAUCCCAUUUGUGUGCUGCUUUAAUAACAUGUAGCCCACUGUUACCCAAGAGAAAUAUAAUUUGAGCCAUAAAUCUAAUUUAAAGGAUUCUAGUGACACAUUUUGAAAAAUAAAAAGACAAAUAUGGAAUUCAUUUUCACAAUAUACUCUAUCAAACCCAAAAUAUCCAAAGCAUCUUUCAAUAUGAGAUGAAAAUUUAAAAUCAAAAUACCAUUACACCCUCCAUAUAUUAAAUCCUUUAUAUUAGUGUGUAUUUUAAACUUACUAUAGCUCUAAAUUCAGAAUACAUACAUUUCAGAUAUCUGAUAGUCAUAUAUAUUUUUAGGUAAAAUUAUUAUCUCCAGUUAUAGCUAUAAACAAAUAUACUUUAUAUUAUGAAUUGAUAAGUUAUCUACAAAUACAUGUGAAACUAUAGAUUUAUAGAUACUAAUUUUAUUGUUUCUUCUUUUUAUAUUUUAUUUUUGAUUUUUAAAGGCAGGCUGUUCAGCUCAGGCUAACCUCCAAAUUCAUUGUCUAUUUGAGGAAGCCUCCCUUUUACUGGCAAUACAGGUGUGUGUCAUCUGCUAAGUGACAAUUUCAAUGGAAAAAUCUAUUGCUGGCCAAGUUAAAGAAAAUUUAGAAAAUCUCACUUCAUGUUGAAACACAAGGUGAAAAACAGCAGUGAAAUGAACUUCCAGACCAGCAAACACUAUUAUUAUGAAUGUAUAUUUGCAGCUUUAGUGGCUUUUUUUCUUAUGAGUUUAGUUGUUGUAGUGACAAUCAUGGUAAAACUUCUUGUUAAUUAUGUACUAUUAUCCAUUACAGUGUUAACUCAGUUUUAUAUUAAGCACCCGAUAAGCCUGCCAAAGUGAAACUGUAUAUUUUUGUCUAUUAUAUUCUACUUACUUAAGACAGAUUGCAUUCUAAAUUCUGUUUUAUUUUUAUCACCAAUAUAGAUAGAUUUAUUGCUAUUCUUAGGACAAGUAUAUUUUCAGUUUUUAAGCUUUACUGUCAUUGUUCCUUAUUGUAGAUUCACUGAGUUAAUAAAUACUGAUUUCUUACUGAAAAAAUUGAUGCAGUAUAUUUAGACCAUGGGUUUUCAUCUUCCAACUUUUCCCCUUUUAACUCCCCACCCAUCCAACUCCAUGUCCUAUUUUCUACUUCUCUUUUGAAAGCAAGCAAACAGGCAAACAAUAACAAAACAAACAAACAAACAAACAAACAAGAAGAAACACAAGAAAAAAAAGUCACCCCCACAAAAACACAAAGUUAGGAAAUCAUAAUACAAAAGUAAAAGACUAGUAAGACCAAAAACAAAACAAAACAAAACAAAACACCAAAACAAAAAACCAAAAAAAAAAAAAUCCCAAAUAAAGCUAUAUGAGGCAAAAUGUCUACAAAAAUACUAUGGAGUUUGUUUUGUGUUUGCCAUCUACUGCUGCACAUAGGACCUAACCUUAAGUGUGGUUAAUAUGGACAAUAAUACUCAAUUGGAUAAAAUGUACAAGCAAGUUUGCGUAUAAAUAUAGAUACAUAGUUUAAAUAAUUUUUUUUUAACCUGGGCUGAUAAUGCUCCUGCAAAGAGCCAAACAUCACCUAAUAAAAUCCAUAGUGUCAGGCACGAGAAGCCCUCUUUAGUUGUUGGAUAUAGGGUUAUCCAAUAGAUGCUCUGAACCUUACAGGCUGUCGAUAUUGCCCUUGGUUGCUCCUGAGAAAUGGAACUGUAGUUUCUAUCGCUAAAGACACCAUGGAAUUUAAAAUUAGGGCUCCAUGGCACCUGAGCUGGAAGUAACCUGAAUGCCCCCUUCCUAAGCACUAGCUCUUGCCAUAAUAGAAGGUACCAUGCAAAGUUCCAAAGGAAGGAAGCAACCAAGAGUCCUACCUAGCUAUAAUGACCAUAAAGCACAAAAGUGACCAACAUGGCAUAAUAACUCUAAAUGUGCAGUAGGGGGACACAUACCCCUGUGGUAAACAACAGCUAAAUUGGACUUAAGGCCUGUAUAACAAGAGAAAAAACAUUCUUGGAACUGGAAACCUAGCCAACUACCCAGUGCUGGUGAAGUUAUGGGAUUUGGAGGAGAACCUACAACUAACACUUUACUAAAUCAGCAUAAUCCUUAACCACUCUAAAUAUGGGCCGUUAUUCUGCAGAUAAGUACAUUUCUCAAUCUUCACCAAGGAAAUUUCUCUUUGAAAGAGACAAGAGACUUGCAGAAAACCACAACCAAUCCAACUGCAGAGUUAGUGGAGUUAUGACUUGUUGAAAUAAUUUUUUAGAUAUUUUAUGGAAUUCUUAUAUCUACCAGCCUUCAAACCCUUAUUACACCCUAAUCCCAUUCAAAUUCCCAACACUAGGUAGGAAAGAAAAAAGUUUAGUGAGGGAAAGUGGGCAUAGAUCUCUUUAGAGGACUUCCUGCUGAUUAGAGGCGUUGGGUUUCUUGGAGCAAGUCCAACCUUUGUUGUCAGAAUAUUCCAUUUCUUCUUGUUGUAUCUUUGCUAACAACUACUUGACAAACUGCAACAACUGGCAACAGUAGCAGGGGCAGUAGUCACUACCAUAGGCCCUCUUGGGGCUCUCCCAUUCAUAUUCUUUCCAGAGUCCCCAGAAUUAAACUGUCUGCAACUGACAAAAAUCAUGCCCUUGCUAGUGCAUGAAGCAAAUUGUAAUCACCUGCCGAGAAGCAGACUCUUAUCUCACACUUUGGAGUAAAACCAAAACAUAUUCAUGUAACAUAACUGGAUUUUUCAAGAAACCAAAAAUUUUAGUACAAUGACCCAAUGGAUAUAAUUGAAAAAAAAAACCCCAAAAAACAAAAACAACAACAACAAAAAAACAAAAAACAAACCAAAAAAACCAAAAAACCCAAUAAAACCAACUCCCAUGUGCAAGACUCAGGGAACAUUGCCACAGAGGGGUGGAAAGAUUAUAAAAGCUACAGGAUCAGGGACUUUGCUAUGAGACUGUCUCCUAGCAGUGUCAGAAGUUACAUCCAUAGAGUCUUAUUAACAUGAUCUGAACAGGAACAACAAUAAUAGACAUCUCAGAAUAUGUGGGAGAAAGCCAUGAGGCCCCAAGCCUAAACAAAUAACUACAGGCAAUUAAGAAAUGCUGAGAGUGGGAGAAAGAGCUUUCCCUAUGGAACAGCACACCAAUACCAAAAUGGUUAUCCAAUACCAAAUAAUCAGCCCUAAAACCAUAUACAUAAAAUAACAUUAUGUAGACUGAGAAAGUUACAUUUAGGAAUAUAUUAAGAGUAAUAUAUACAUAUGUAUGCAUUUAUGUAACAACAGUCAAUGAAACAAGAAGCCAGGAAUUACAAAGAGAAUAAGGAGGGGCAUAUGAGUUGUUUUGGAGAGAGAAAAGAGAAGUGGGAAAUGAUGCAAUUAUAAUCUCAAAAACAAGAAAACAAAAAGGGAAAGAAAAGGAUAUUUAGUAAGUCCACCAUGCCUCAGUUUAUGAAAGUACUAAUCUGUAAAACAGAGGUGAUAUUAAUGAAUAACUCUGUCUUUUUUCUAACUUCUAUCCAAUCAAUAAGCAUGGUUAUGUCUAACAUGCAAAGAAACACUUGAGGAAUAUGAUAAAAACUUUGUGACCUUGUUUAAGCAAAUUGUUUUUAUAUGGGAAGCCUAAUGAGCUUCUGUAUCUAAUCUCAUCUUCAAUAAAAGCACAACAUCACU